rnacentral:lncRNA from 1 species
GCCUAAUAGAACCAUAACCAACGAGAGGGAAAUCAUUCGUUAGUAAACUGGCUGAUGUGCGGCCACGUUCAUGAGUAUACAGCGGACGUGUUUACAAAGAGAAAUUCUAAAUAAUAAAAAAAUUAACCAAUAUAAAUGCAACAAAAUUAAAAUUUUGCAAAAAAAAAAGAAAAUUUAAAAUGCAAUAAAAUCUAAAAAUUUAAAUAUGAAAAUAAAAAAUAAUUUUUGAAAUAAAGAAAUUUUAAACCUAAAACAAGUUUUUUUUUAAAUUUACAGUAAGAGCAAAUCGCUUUAAAAACAAACAACAGUUGCGUUUAACUACUUCCUGUUCAGUUGUAACAUAAACAUACGCAUGUAUUCAAAUGCUUCCGUUUCCUUCCUGCUUAAAUAAACGUAUGGACGCGUUGUUUGGACGUGUUGUGUGUGCGUAUAUGUGCUAGACGCGCUGGAGUCUAUUGCAUAGUGUGUUUUGUAUUUAGAGUGUGAUUUUGAAACUCUUUUGAAAUUUAAUUUUCAAAUAUUCCAAUGGUCAGCACAAAAAAAAAUAAAAAAUAAAACACCUCAACCCAAGAAAAGGAAGAAAGGAGGAAAAGAUGAUAUUGAAUGGAAGAAAUCUAAUGCUGCAAAUGAAACCACAGGAAUUCAUUAACAACAACUUCAUCAUCUACAAGAAAUUAAAACAAACAAAACAUUUUUUUAAACCCCACAACCAUUGUUGUGCACAACAAUAACAACACCUAGAAUAACAGCAUCUACUUAAACAAAUACUGGGAAUUGAUCCCAGAUUCAAGAUAUGCUUGUGGUAAUGGCAGCUUUUGCUUGGUAUUAAAUAUAAUGCGGGGAACAUAUUAAAAAGUCAUCAACCACAACAAAAACAAAAAAAAUAUAUACAGAAUUAAAUUGUAUUUAUUUUAUUAAAAUAAAAACUGAAGAGUAAAAAUAUGUUAUGGUAUAUAGAGAAAAAGGAAUAUAUGAAAUGAACGCAAGUUGUGAGUUAAAAAAACAAUAAAUCGACCACAAGAUAAGAAGAGAAUAAGCAAAAACAAAAUGUAUAAACAACAACCUUGGAAACCAGCCAACUUUAUCAUAAUUUCAAAAAUGAAGAACAUCAUAAUGACGCUGAACAUGCGAUAAUCAUAAUGAUGAGGAUCAUUAUAAUGUUUAAAAUAAGAUUGUUGACAACGAAACUGUCGAUUAUGAUGAAGAUGAAAAUAGCGAAUAAUGCUCGCACUUCAAUGCCAAACAGCAACAAACGUCAACAACAGAGCAGCAACAGCAUCUACAUAUAAACAGUAACAUUAUUGACAAUAAUAUGCCGUAACAAUAAUAAUAAAAGUUUGUAUGUAAAAUAAUUGUUUACAUACACACACGCAUAUUUAUGUAAAGUGAUAAUAUUAAUAAAAAAAAAGAAAAACCCACAAAGACAUCAAAAUGGAAAAGGAGCCAACAAUCUCUUAAAAGCUGUGUCAGAAACAAACGAAAAACCUCAAAAAAUGCUUUAUUUCAUGCUUUUUGAAAAAAGUAUUUUAAAAGUUAAAAAAAUAUAUAUGUAUAUAAUAAAAAAAAUCUUAAACACACUGCUUCCCCCACCACCAUGGUGACAGAUAUAUUUUUAAUUAGCAAAUUAUGUGAAAAUGUCAAACAAAGAAAACACAGAAAUAAAUGGAAACCAAACAACACUAAAAUGAAACCAACAAAUAUUUAAAGAUAUAAAUCACAGAACUAAACUAAAAAUAAAAAUCUCAAUAAACUGAAAAUAUAUAAAAACAUUUUUUUUAACGCUUCUAGUACAAAGACUAUUGAAAUUUAUUUUCUGAAAAUUAUUUUCUUAAUAACUUUUUAACUAAUUUUCAAGUGCUUAAUAAUUAUUUCUUCCUCCUCUUACUUCCGUCAAACACUCACGGCUAAAAGCAAAACACCCGACGAAAUAAAUAUAAAAAUUACAACGCACACCUCCUGUUAUUUAUUUAUUUUUUCUAAAGUGCAAGUGACACUUGUAGAAUUGCAAAGAAAUAGCAAAUGACAAGUAAACAGCAACAACUAAAGAAAAAAAAUGCAAAUAAAUUUAAUACAAUUAAAUAAAAAAAAUAAUGGCAACGUCAACGGAAUAUACAAAUAAGCGACAAAAACAUCACAAGCAACAACAAUAUCAUCAUAAACAACAACAACAACAACAGCAGCAGCAAGCACAACAACAGCAAUUACUAAGAAAAAGAACUAAAAUUAAUUUUUAAGUGAAACGAAAAUAAAAUAUUUAAAAUAAAAAUAAAACUAACACUAUUUUGAAAAAAAAAGAAAAUAAAAUAAGAGCGAAGAUCUAGAAGCAGACAAAAAACUAGUGGGUUUGUUGUUUUUCGAUUAAACACACUCAAAACAAACGAGAUGUCGUGUAUGACCACGACCUCGACCAUCAUAAAAAUGAGGAAAAAAUUUCUCCAACAAGUUUUGCUAAAUAAAAUAUAAAAAAUAAGAUACAAAAAAAAAGAAAUAAUAUUGUUUUUAUGUAGAAAAAAUAUAAAGAAAUAAAUAUAAAAAUUAUUAACAGAUAAAAAGAGCGACAACAAGUCAGAAAAGAGUCCAUACAAAUUUUCUAAAAAAAAAAUAGGAAAAAUAUAAAAAAUCUUGUGAUUUGUUUCUUUUGGUUAAAUUUUGUUUUUAUUUUUUAUGGAAAAUCAACACUUCGAAUAAAAAAAUUUUGAAAUUGAGUCCUCAGUCGUUUGAACGGCAUAAAAUAGAACAACGCGCGAGCGCUUCCACUGUGAAUGUGAACAAGUGAUAAAAAAUACGUUAGAAAAUUUAUUUUCAAAAGUAAAAUUUUUCAUUAUUUAAAAAUAAAAGUUUUCCAUUGAUAAAA